GUUUUCUCCUCUUGUUUCCGCCUCUCUUCCCUUGGGCAUGGAUCCAUCUUGGACAUCCUACCAGCUGAUGUGAGGUGUCACCCGAUAUAUUUCAUCCCUCGAUUGAUUGAGUUGCAAAGAUAAUUGGAUUGGAGUUCAUCCUACUUUCCUGCGGCAUCUGACGUGCAUGCGAAGUAGAGGGUCUGCACAUUUAGACCUCUGUG
rnacentral:lncRNA from 1 species